UACAGAGGUCUCAAGCGUUGUUCGGAUUCAUUGGGCGUAAAGGGUGCGUAGGCGGCGCGGUAAGUCGGAUGUGAAAUCUCGGAGCUUAACUUCGAAACUGCAUUCGAUACUGCCGUGCUUGAGGACUGGAGAGGAGACUGGAAUUUACGGUGUAGCGGUGAAAUGCGUAGAUAUCGUAAGGAAGACCAGUGGCGAAGGCGGGUCU
rnacentral:rRNA from 1 species